rnacentral:rRNA from 1 species
CAGGAUGAACGCUGGCGGCGUGCCUAAUACAUGCAAGUCGAACGAGAAGCCUGAUUUCGAUUAGGUGGAGAGUGGCGCACGGGUGAGUAACACAUGGCUGACCUGCCCCGCAGCGGGGGACAACCACUGGAAACGGUGGCUAAUACCCCAUGGCUUCACGGCGUUUAGAAGGCGGUGAAGAAAACUGAGGUGCUGUGGGAGGGGGCUGUGGCCCAUCAGCUAGUUGGUAAGGUAACGGCUUACCAAGGCGAGGACGGGUAGGGGGCCUGAGAGGGUGACCCCCCACACGGGCACUGAGACACGGGCCCGACUUCUACGGAAGGCAGCAGUAAGGGAUAUUGCGCAAUGGGCGAAAGCCUGACGCAGCAACGCCGCGUGCGGGAUGACGGCCUUCGGGUUGUAAACCGCUUUUCUGCGUGAAGAGGAAGGACGGUAGCGCAGGAAUAAGUCUCGGCUAACUACGUGCCAGCAGCCGCGGUAAAACGUAGGAGGCGAGCGUUAUCCGGAUUUACUGGGUGUAAAGCGCGUGCAGGCGGCAGCGUAAGUUAGGCGUGAAAGCGCUCAGGCUCAACCGGGCGAGGACGUGUAAAACUGCGUUGCUAGAGGCAGGUAGAGGCGUGUGGAAUUCCGGGUGUAGUGGUGAAAUGCGUAGAGAUCCGGAGGAACACCAGUGGCGAAGGCGACACGCUGGGCCUGACCUGACGCUAAGACGCGAAAGCAUGGGGAGCGAACGGGAUUAGAAACCCCGGUAGUCCAUGCCGUAAACGAUGCUUACUAAGUGUUGCGCCUUAACCGGUGCGGUGCUGAAGCCAACGUGAUAAGUAAGCCACCUGGGGAGUACGGUCGCAAGAUUAAAACUCAAAGGACUUGACGGGGACCCGCACAAGCAGCGGAGCGUGUGGUUUAAUUCGAGGCUACACGAAGAACCUUACCUGGGCUUGACAUGCCAGUGGUAGGAACGUGAAAACGGACCGACCUUCGGGAGCUGGCACAGGUGCUGCAUGGCUGUCGUCAGCUCGUGUCGUGAGAUGUUCGGUUAAGUCCGGUAACGAGCGCAACCCUCGUCGUUAGUUACAGGUGUCUAACGAGACUGCCCGUUGAACGCGGGAGGAAGGUGGGGAUGACGUCAAGUCAGCAUGGCCUUUAUGCCCAGGGCUACACACACGCUACAAUGGCCGGUACAAUGGGUCGCCAACCCGCGAGGGGGAGCCAAUCCAACAAAGCCGGUCUCAGUUCGGAUUGUAGGCUGCAACUCGCCUGCAUGAAGUCGGAGUUGCUAGUAACCGCAGGUCAGCUAUACUGCGGUGAUACGUUCCCGGGUCUUGUACACACCGCCCGUCACGUCAUGGAAGCUGGUCACGCCUGAAGUCGGUGGGCUAACCGCAAGGAG